ACGAACGCUGGCGGCGUGCUUAACACAUGCCAGUCGAACGGAAAGGCCCUGCUUUUGUGGGGUGCUCGAGUGGCGAACGGGUGAGUAACACGUGAGUAACCUGCCCUUGACUUUGGGAUAACUUCAGGAAACUGGGGCUAAUACCGGAUAGGAGCUCCUGCUGCAUGGUGGGGGUUGGAAAGUUUCGGCGGUUGGGGAUGGACUCGCGGCUUAUCAGCUUGUUGGUGGGGUAGUGGCUUACCAAGGCUUUGACGGGUAGCCGGCCUGAGAGGGUGACCGGCCACAUUGGGACUGAGAUACGGCCCAGACUCCUACGGGAGGCAGCAGUGGGGAAUAUUGCACAAUGGGCGGAAGCCUGAUGCAGCAACGCCGCGUGCGGGAUGACGGCCUUCGGGUUAUAAACCGCUUUCGCCUGUGACGAAGCGUGAGUGACGGUAAUGGGUAAAGAAGCACCGGCUAACUACGUG
rnacentral:rRNA from 1 species